CACUUAUAGAGAAAGGCAGAGGGAAUAGACCCAAUGAAGCCUUAGCAACCUGUCAUUUGACAAGGUGCUACAUUCUACCCAAUCAAAUUGGGAAUGAUAAGCU
rnacentral:ncRNA from 2 species